rnacentral:tRNA from 1 species
UUUYGGGCCCAUACCCCGAAAAUGUUGGUUAAUACCUUCCCCUACUA